UACAGAGGGUGCGAGCGUUAAUCGGAAUUACUGGGCGUAAAGCGCGCGUAGGCGGCUUUUCAAGCCGAUUGUGAAAUCCCCGGGCUUAACCUGGGAACUGCAGUCGGGACUGUCUAGCUAGAGUAUGGGAGAGGGAAGUGGAAUUUCAGGUGUAGCGGUGAAAUGCGUAGAUAUCUGAAGGAACAUCAGUGGCGAAAAGCGACUUCCUGGACCAAUACUGACGCUCAUGUGCGAAAGCGUGGGGAGCAAACAGG
rnacentral:rRNA from 1 species